GGGGAGCCCAGGCUAUGUGCCAGGCCUGGCCUUGCUGUCAGCUUUCUAAGCCAGUCACAAACAUUCUCCUCUCAACUUUAUAAUGGAUGCCCCCCAGCCUCCUCUCCCCUCUCAGGGUGCUCCUGAGGCUAUGAGCAGCUGGCAGUUCCCUGUCUGAGAGGUCCUUCGUACCGCAGGAGAGGCAGCUCUCACCUGAAGGCCUCCCUGGACACCGGUCUCAACUUUGUGUGUUACCAGUUAUGGAGAAUUAUUUUUAGCCUGAUCUUUUGGCCAGAAGGAGAUUAAAAAGAUGCCCCUCAAGAUGGCUGUGCCUGUCAGCUGCAUGGAGCUUCGUUCAAGUAUUUUCUGAGCCUGAUGGAUUUACAGUGAUCUUCAGUGGUCUGGGGAAUAACGCUGGUGGAACCAUGCACUGGAAUGACACACGCCCGGCACAUUUCAGGAUACUAAAAGUGGUUUUAAGGGAGGCUGUGGCUGAAUGCCUCAUGGAUUCUUACAGCUUGGAUGUCCAUGGGGGACGAAGGACUGCAGCUGGCUGAGAGGGUUGAGAUCUCUGUUUACUUAGAUCUCUGCCAACUUCCUUUGGGUCUCCCUAUGGAAUGUAAGACCCCGACUCUUCCUGGUGAAGCAUCUGAUGCACGUUCCAUCCGGCGCUCAGCUGGGCUUGAGGACUUCGCAGGUGAGCAGUAACGGAAAUCAGCCCCGUUUAUUCCUCCCAGCACCUGCCUUAUCCAACUCCCCACGCUGUGGCUGAGUCCCAGCCUGCUAUGGAAGCAUCACUGGACUCCCAUUGAACUCUGUGCAGAUUCGCUGUUCGUAGACAUGGUACCUGAUGGACACCAAGCUACGUACAGCUUCAAGGCCCCUUCUUUCUUUGCUAAUAAAAAAUAAAAAAUAAAAACAUAAUACACGUUAUA
ensembl:lncRNA PVT1 Pvt1 oncogene